rnacentral:rRNA from 1 species
UACGUAGGGGGCAAGCGUUGUCCGGAAUCAUUGGGCGUAAAGCGCGUGUAGGCGGCCCGGUAAGUCCGCUGUGAAAGUCGGGGGCUCAACCCUCGAAUGCCGGUGGAUACUGUCGGGCUAGAGUGCGGAAGAGGCGAGUGGAAUUCCUGGUGUAGCGGUGAAAUGCGCAGAUAUCAGGAGGAACACCAAUAGCGAAGGCAGCUCGCUGGGACGUUACUGACACUGAGGCGCGAAAGCGUGGGGAGCGAACAGG